rnacentral:rRNA from 1 species
CCCUAUGGGGUGCAGCAGGCGCGAAAACUUUACAAUGCGGGCAACCGUGAUAAGGAAACCCCGAGUGCCACCACAGGGUGGCUGUCCACCAGUGUAAAAAACUGGUGAAGAAAGGGCCGGGCAAGACCGGUGCCAGCCGCCGCGGUAAUACCGGCGGCUCGAGUGGUGGCCACUAUUACUGGGCUUAAAGCGUUCGUAGCUUGGUUGUUAAGUCUCUUGGGAAAUCUAUCGGCUUAACCGAUAGGCGUCCAGGGGAUACUGGCAAUCUAGGGACCGGGAGAGGUGAGGGGUACUUCAGGGGUAGGAGUGAAAUCCUGUAAUCCUUGGGGGACCACCUGUGGCGAAGGCGCCUCACCAGAACGGCUCCGACAGUGAGGGACGAAAGCUGGGGGAGCAAACCGG